rnacentral:tRNA from 1 species
UGCUGUCUGGUGUAAUGGUUAGUACAUAAGACUUUGAUUCUUAGAGUAUGGGUUCAAUCCCUAUGACAGCAA